AGAAGUAGAGGAAAAUAAGAAGAGGAAGACAAGACAAGAAAUCAAGAGAAAAAAGAAAAAAACUCCCUGGACUGCGACCUCACUGUGAGCUGCACUGUGACCCCAGAGGAGGUGGCCAUUCAACGCUGAGGUCACACAGGCUCCCUUCCUGAUGCAGAUUUCACAAAUAAACUGGCAGGGAAUGAGACCAAAGACCAGGAAGAGAAUCAUUGCAGAGGUGUCAGCCAACCAGCCAGCCAGGAAAGUCAAGAGUCCCUGAAUGCUGGUAAUAAGAUGCUGGGGCCAGGAACACUGUACCAUGAAGGCAAACCACAAACCUUCAACAAGACGUGGAGUGAUGAAGAAUGGCCAAAGUACAAGACAAGAUGUUUUUGUAAAUGUUGAAUUUUUAGGACAAAAAUACAGUGUGCUUGGUAACAGAUUUAUCCAAUGCUCAAUUACUUAUCUCAGAAGGAAUGAAGAAUGUGCAUUGAAAUAAAUAUCACUGCUUGUAUGUGAGUGAGUCUUGUGAUGGAGUUAAAGUCAUCUUAAAACAUUCUGCACUAACCAUAUUACCCCUUAACACAAAUUAUGUACUUUACAACUUUGCAUAGUAAGACUAAGUUAAUAUGAUUAAUCCUAAUGUGAGGUACUGUAAUGUUUUCUUCAUUUUCAG